ACACACACUGCCUUUGCUAUGACUUCAUCGUCACUCCUAAGUUCAGACCUGAACCACGAUGGUGUGAAGUUCAAGAUCAGGUGGAUAAAAGGCCUUUUCUUCACUAUGACUGUGUUAGCCAUAAGGCCAAAGCCUUUGCUUCUCUGGGGAAGAAAGUCAAUGUCACAAAAGCCUGGGAAGAACAGACUGAAACACUAAGAGACAUGGUGGAUUUCCUCAAAGAGCAACUGCCUGACGUUCGAGUGGAGAAUUGAAUAUCCAGUGAGCCUCUCACCCUGCAGGCCAGGAUGUCUUGUGAGCACAAAGCCCAUGGACACAGCAGAGGAUCUUGGCAGUUUCUCUUCAAUGGACAGAGGUUCCUCCUCUUUGACCCAAACAACAGAAAGUAGACAGUGCUUCAUCCUGGAGUCAAGAAGAUGAAAGAGAAGUGGGAGAAGAACAGGGAUGUGGCCAUGUUCUUCCAGAAGAUUUCACUGGGAGACGGAAACUUGGCUUGAGGAAUUCUUGAUACACUGGGAAAAAAUGCUGAAGAGAACAAGUAAGUGGGAAGA
rnacentral:lncRNA from 1 species